rnacentral:rRNA from 1 species
GAUGAACGCUAGCGGCAGGCUUAACACAUGCAAGUCGAGGGGCAGCACGGGUAGCAAUACCUGGUGGCGACCGGCGCAAGGGUGCGUAACGCGUGAGCAACAUGCCCUAUACAGGGGGAUAAUCCAGGGAAACUUGGUCUAAUAUCCCAUAGCAUUUAGAGGAGGCAUCUUCACUAAAUUAAAGCUUCGGUGGUAUAGGAUUGGCUCGCGUGACAUUAGCUAGAUGGUGAGGUAACGGCCCACCAUGGCUAUGAUGUCUAGGGGUUCUGAGAGGAAGACCCCCCACACUGGGACUGAGACACGGCCCAGACUCCUACGGGAGGCAGCAGUGAGGAAUAUUGGACAAUGGAUGGAAAUCUGAUCCAGCCAUGCCGCGUGCAGGAAGACGGCCCUAUGGGUUGUAAACUGCUUUUAAUGGGACAAUAAGGUUUACGAGUAGACCGAUGAGAGUACCAUAUGAAUAAGCAUCGGCUAAC